GGUCUCUUCCAGUAACAAUAUCCUGGUGCUGCCUGAGUGCCUCUCACAGACUCCAGCAUCAGUGAUUUUGUUGCUGGGGGUG
rnacentral:pre_miRNA from 13 species